rnacentral:rRNA from 1 species
AAUAUUGGCCAAUGGGGUCAACGCUGUUCUAGCCAUGCCGCGCGUGUGAAGAAGGUCAUCGGAUUGUAAAGCAUAUUUAGUUGGGUGGAAGGGCUUUAGGUUAAUACCAUGAAGUCUUGACGUUACAAUCAGAAUAAGCACCGGCUAACUCUGUGACAGCAGCCGCGGUAAUACGGAGGGUGCAAGCGUUAAUCGGAAUUACUGGUCGUAAAGCACGCGUAGGUGGUUCAGUAAGAUGGGUGUGAAAUCCCCGGGCUUAACCUGGGAGCUACUUUCAUAACUGCUGAGCUAGAGUACGGUAGAGGAUAGUGGAAGUUCCUGUGUAGCGGUGAAAUGCGUAGAUAUAGGAAGGAACACCAGUGGCGAAGGCGACUACCUGGACUGAUACUGACGCUGAGGAGCGAAAGCGUGGGGAGCAAAC